rnacentral:rRNA from 1 species
UGGCAGUCAGAGGCGAUGAAGGACGUGCUAAUCUGCGAUAAGCGUCGGUAAGGUGAUAUGAACCGUUAUAACCGGCGAUUUCCGAAUGGGGAAACCCAGUGUGUUUCGACACACUAUCAUUAACUGAAUCCAUAGGUUAAUGAGGCGAACCGGGGGAACUGAAACAUCUAAGUACCCCGAGGAAAAGAAAUCAACCGAGAUUCCCCCAGUAGCGGCGAGCGAACGGGGAGGAGCCCAGAGCCUGAAUCAGUGUGUGUGUUAGUGGAAGCGUCUGGAAAGGCGCGCGAUACAGGGUGACAGCCCCGUACACAAAAAUGCACAUGCUGUGAGCUCGAUGAGUAGGGCGGGACACGUGGUAUCCUGUCUGAAUAUGGGGGGACCAUCCUCCAAGGCUAAAUACUCCUGACUGACCGAUAGUGAACCAGUACCGUGAGGGAAAGGCGAAAAGAACCCCGGCGAGGGGAGUGAAAAAGAACCUGAAACCGUGUACGUACAAGCAGUGGGAGCA